CAAUAGCGUAUAUUUAAGUUGUUGCAGUUAAAAAGCUCGUAGUUGGAUUUCGGGUGGGACGCAGCGGUCUCGCAUUGCGUUUGUACUGCUGCAGCCCUCCUUCUUGCCGGGGGCGGCCUCUCGGACUUCACUGUCUGGGGGUCAGAAUCGGCGAUGUUACUUUGAGUAAAUUAGAGUGUUCAAAGCAAGCUUACGCUCUGAAUAUAAUAGCAUGGGAUAACACGACAGGACUCUGGCCUAUCGUGUUGGUCUAUAGGACCAGAGUAAUGAUUAAGAGGGACAGUCGGGGGCAUUCGUAUUCCGUUGUCAGAGGUGAAAUUCUUGGAUUUACGGAAGACGAACAUCUGCGAAAGCGUUUGCCAAGGAUGUUUUCAUUGA
rnacentral:rRNA from 1 species